rnacentral:rRNA from 1 species
GAUGAACGCUAGCGGCAGGCUUAAUACAUGCAAGUCGAGGGGCAGCAGGGUGUAGCAAUACAUCGCUGGCGACCGGCAAACGGGUGCGGAACACGUACGCAACCUUCCUUCAAGUGGGGAAUAGCCCAGGGAAACUUGGAUUAAUACCUCGUAACAUUAUGAGAUGGCAUCAUUUUAUAAUUAUAGUUCCGACGCUUGAAGAUGGGCGUGCGCCUGAUUAGGAGUUGGCGGGGUAACGGCCCACCAAGCCUUCGAUCAGUAACUGGUGUGAGAGCACGACCAGUCACACGGGCACUGAGACACGGGCCCGACUCCUACGGGAGGCAGCAGUAAGGAAUAUUGGACAAUGGGGGCAACCCUGAUCCAGCCAUGCCGCGUGAAGGAUGAAGGCGCUCUGCGUCGUAAACUUCUUUUACUCGAGAAAAUUGUU